AGAGUUUGAUCAUGGCUCAGAUUGAACGCUGGCGGCAUGCUUUACACAUGCAAGUCGAGCGGCAGCGCGGGGGCAACCCUGGCGGCGAGCGGCGAACGGGUGAGGAAUACAUCGGAACGUGCCCGAGAGUGGGGGAUAACGCCGCGAAAGCGGCGCUAAUACCGCAUAUUCUCCGAGGAGGAAAGUGGGGGACCUGCAAGGGCCUCACGCUCACGGAGCGGCCGAUGUCGGAUUAGCUAGUUGGUGGGGUAAAGGCUUACCAAGGCGACGAUCCGUAGCUGGUCUGAGAGGAUGAUCAGCCACACUGGGACUGAGACACGGCCCAGACUCCUACGGGAGGCAGCAGUGGGGAAUUUUGGACAAUGGGGGCAACCCUGAUCCAGCCAUGCCGCGUGCGGGAAGAAGGCCUUCGGGUUGUAAACCGCUUUUAGUCGGGAAGAAAAGGCAACUCUUAAUACGGGUUGUUCUUGACGGUACCGGCGGAAUAAGCACCGGCUAACUACGUGCCAGCAGCCGCGGUA
rnacentral:rRNA from 1 species